GCCCCAGGCUUUGGGAUAACCCCGGGAAACCGGGGCUAAUACCGAAUAUGACCUUGCACCGCAUGGUGUUUGGUGGAAAGUUUUUCGGCUUGGGAUGGGCUCGCGGCCUAUCAGCUUGUUGGUGGGGUGAUGGCCUACCAAGGCGACGACGGGUAGCCGGCCUGAGAGGGCGACCGGCCACACUGGGACUGAGACACGGCCCAGACUCCUACGGGAGGCAGCAGUGGGGAAUAUUGCACAAUGGGCGGAAGCCUGAUGCAGCGACGCCGCGUGAGGGAUGACGGCCUUCGGGUUGUAAACCUCUUUCAGCAGGGACGAAGCGUAAGUGACGGUACCUGCAGAAGAAGCGCCGGCCAACUACGUGCCAGCAGCCGCGGUAAGACGUAGGGCGCGAGCGUUGUCCGGAUUUAUUGGGCGUAAAGAGCUCGUAGGCGGCUUGUCGCGUCGACUGUGAAAACCCGCAGCUCAACUGCGGGCCUGCAGUCGAUACGGGCAGGCUAGAGUUCGGUAGGGGAGACUGGAAUUCCUGGUGUAGCGGUGAAAUGCGCAGAUAUCAGGAGGAACACCGGUGGCGAAGGCGGGUCUCUGGGCCGAUACUGACGCUGAGGAGCGAAAGCGUGGGGAGCGAACAGGAUUAGAUACCCUGGUAGUCCACGCUGUAAACGUUGGGCGCUAGGUGUGGGGGGCCUCUCCGGUUCCCUGUGCCGCAGCUAACGCAUUAAGCGCCCCGCCUGGGGAGUACGGCCGCAAGGCUAAAACUCAAAG
rnacentral:rRNA from 1 species